UCGAAGUGGUCUCUGUUGGCUGCAAUAC
rnacentral:sRNA from 1 species